UCUCGGGUGACGAGUGGCGGACGGGUGAGUAAUGUCUGGGGAUCUGCCCGAUAGAGGGGGAUAACCACUGGAAACGGUGGCUAAUACCGCAUAACGUCGCAAGACCAAAGAGGGGGACCUUCGGGCCUCUCACUAUCGGAUGAACCCAGAUGGGAUUAGCUAGUAGGCGGGGUAACGGCCCACCUAGGCGACGAUCCCUAGCUGGUCUGAGAGGAUGACCAGCCACACUGGAACUGAGACACGGUCCAGACUCCUACGGGAGGCAGCAGUGGGGAAUAUUGCACAAUGGGCGCAAGCCUGAUGCAGCCAUGCCGCGUGUAUGAAGAAGGCCUUCGGGUUGUAAAGUACUUUCAGCGGGGAGGAAGGCGAUGUGGUUAAUAACCUCGUCGAUUGACUUACCCGCUUUAUU
rnacentral:rRNA from 1 species